CCUACGGGAGGCAGCAGUGGGGAAUCUUGGACAAUGGGCGAAAGCCUGAUCCAGCAAUGCCGCGUGUGCGAUGAAGGCUUUCGGGUUGUAAAGCACUUUUGUCAGGGAAGAAACGGUCCGGGCUAAUACCUCGGAUUUCUGACGGUACCUGAAGAAUAAGCACCGGCUAACUACGUGCCAGCAGCCGCGGUAAUACGUAGGGUGCAAGCGUUAAUCGGAAUUACUGGGCGUAAAGCGUGCGCAGGCGGUUUACUAAGACAGGUGUGAAAUCCCCGGGCUUAACCUGGGAACUGCAUCUGUGACUAGUAGACUAGAGUUUGGCAGAGGGGGGUGGAAUUCCUGGUGUAGCAGUGAAAUGCGUAGAUAUCAGGAGGAACGCCGAUGGCGAAGGCAGCCCCCUGGGCCACCACUGACGCUCAUGCACGAAAGCGUGGGGAGCAAACAGGAUUAGAUACCCUG
rnacentral:rRNA from 1 species